ACGAACGUUGGCGGCGUGGAUUAGGCAUGCAAGUCGAACGAAUCCCUUGGGGCUUGCUCUGAGGGGGAAGUGGCGAAAGGGGCAGUAAUGCGUGGGUAACCUACCCCGGGGACCGGGAUAGCCUUCCUAACGGAGGGGUAAUACCGGGCGAUGUAGCGAGGUGGCAUCAUCUUGCUACGAAAUGAAUUUCGCCUCGGGAGGGGCUCACGUGCUAUUAGCUAGUUGGCGGGGUAACGGCCCACCAAGGCUAAGAUGGCUAGCAGGUGUGAGAGCACGACCUGCGCCACUGGCACUGAGACACUGGCCAGACUCCUACGGGAGGCUGCAGUCGAGGAUCUUUGGCAAUGGGCGCAAGCCUGACCAAGCGACGCCGCGUGCGCGAUGAAGGCCUUCGGGUUGUAAAGCGCUGUCGAGGGGGAGGAAGCCGCAAGGUUGACCUAUCCCUGGAGGAAGGACGGGCUAAGUUCGU
rnacentral:rRNA from 1 species